rnacentral:rRNA from 1 species
UGGGGGAUAUUGCGCAAUGGGGGAAACCCUGACGCAGCAACGCCGCGUGGAGGAAGAAGGUUUUCGGAUUGUAAACUCCUUUUGUCAGGGACGAUAGUGACGGUACCUGACGAAUAAGCUCCGGCUAACUACGUGCCAGCAGCCGCGGUAAUACGUAGGGAGCGAGCGUUGUCCGGAUUUACUGGGUGUAAAGGGCGUGUAGGCGGACUUUUAAGUCAGCCGUGAAAUCUACGGGCUUAACCCGUAGCCUGCGGUUGAAACUGAAAGCCUUGAGUGGUGGAGAGGAAAGCGGAAUUCCUAGUGUAGCGGUGAAAUGCGUAGAUAUUAGGAGGAACACCAGUGGCGAAGGCGGCUUUCUGGACACUAACUGACGCUGAGGCGCGAAAGCGUGGGGAGCAAACAGG